UACAGAGGGUGCGAGCGUUGUCCGGAAUCACUGGGCGUAAAGGGCGCGUAGGUGGCGACCCAAGUCGAUGGUGAAAGCUCGCCGCUCAACGGCGAGUCGGCCACCGAUACUGGGUUGCUCGAGCACUGUAGAGGCUAAUGGAAUUCCGGGUGUAGCGGUGGAAUGCGUAGAGAUCCGGAAGAACACCGGUGGCGAAGGCGGUUAGCUGGGCAGUUGCUGACGCUGAUGCGCGACAGCGUGGGGAGCAAACAGG
rnacentral:rRNA from 1 species